GAUGAACGCUGGCGGCGUGCUUAACACAUGCAAGUCGAACGGAAAGGCUCCUGCUUGCAGGGGUACUCGAGUGGCGAACGGGUGAGUAACACGUGGGUGAUCUGCCCUUCACUUCGGGAUAAGCCUGGGAAACUGGGUCUAAUACCGGAUAGGACGAUGGUUUGGAUGCCAUUGUGGAAAGUUUUUUCGGUGUGGGAUGAGCUCGCGGCCUAUCAGCUUGUUGGUGGGGUAAUGGCCUACCAAGGCGUCGACGGGUAGCCGGCCUGAGAGGGUGUACGGCCACAUUGGGACUGAGAUACGGCCCAGACUCCUACGGGAGGCAGCAGUGGGGAAUAUUGCACAAUGGGCGGAAGCCUGAUGCAGCGACGCCGCGUGGGGGAUGACGGCCUUCGGGUUGUAAACCCCUUUCGCUAGGGACGAAGCGCAAGUGACGGUACCUGGAGAAGAAGCACCGGCUAACUACGUG
rnacentral:rRNA from 1 species